GUAGUCUUAGGUGUCUGGAGAAGUCGCCCGGUUUCUGCUUGCUGGUCGCGAAAUUUUAUAGCUAUAAUUAACUCAGGGCGGAACAGCUAGCAGAAUCCUCAGCGUUCGGGCAAAGGGCAGAGAAUCCAGCCAGAAGCAACAUGUAGAUCUAAUGACCUUCUCCAGGAGUCGAGGACCCACUACCUCGCUGAAUUCUCAGAGUCAAAAUGCGUCUCUACCUGCUGGUCCCAGAACAGUCCCCUGCUGCUGCAUUGAAUGAAUCUCAUCUCACUUCCUCGAGUCAGCCCUACCUAUAUUUGAUGAUCACAAACCUUAUCCUUACGUUGCCAGCAGUAACAUUCUGCAUCCCUCACCCACUCCACUGUGUCCUUUUCCUCCCACUGAUCUUCACUCUGCCUUUUCUAGGGGAACUCUGAACAGUAUUUCUGAGAAGGGAUGAGGAAACUGAGGCUCAAAGAAGAUAAUGUGCCCAAGGUCACCUCGCUAGGAAAGAGUGGAGCUGAGAUUUAAACUGUGACUUUAAGCCCAAGUUCAAGGCUUCUUACUAGUUUUAACUACAUUCCCAUACCCCUUUUAAUCAAUCAUGUAAAUAAAAUCUUAAUUCUUUUAAAAAAUUAA
rnacentral:lncRNA from 1 species